rnacentral:rRNA from 1 species
AUUAAACGCUGGCGGCAUGCCUUACACAUGCAAGUCGAACGGCAGCACGGGGGCAACCCUGGUGGCGAGUGGCGAACGGGUGAGUAAAGCAUCGGAACGUGCCCUGGAGUGGGGGAUAACGUAGCGAAAGUUACGCUAAUACCGCAUAUUCUGUGAGCAGGAAAGCAGGGGAUCGCAAGACCUUGCGCUCUGGGAGCGGCCGAUGUCGGAUUAGCUAGUUGGUGGGGUAAAGGCCUACCAAGGCGACGAUCCGUAGCGGGUCUGAGAGGAUGAUCCGCCACACUGGGACUGAGACACGGCCCAGACUCCUACGGGAGGCAGCAGUGGGGAAUUUUGGACAAUGGGCGAAAGCCUGAUCCAGCCAUGCCGCGUGAGUGAAGAAGGCCUCGGGUUGGUAAAGUACGUCUUUCGGUUGGGGGUAAGGAAAGUUAGUCAUAGGCUAAUACCUACUGUAGAUG